rnacentral:rRNA from 1 species
AAACUUUCAACAACGGAUCUCUUGGUUCUGGCAUCGAUGAAGAACGCAGCGAAAUGCGAUAAGUAAUGUGAAUUGCAGAAUUCCGUGAAUCAUCGAAUCUUUGAACGCACAUUGCGCCCGCUAGUAUUCUGGCGGGCAUGCCUGUUCGAGCGUCAUU